GCCUGCUAUGGGUCUCUAGGUACAGAGAGCAUUGUGAAAAACUGAGCAGGUCAACUCAAAGGAAAUAACAGUGACAACAGUGACACAAUCCCUGCCCUCCGGUUGCUCACUGGAGAGUAUUAGGGGUACAGGGAGAUGGGGGGGAGCCGGGAGGGCGAAGAGGAUGGAAGUAUAAGAGAAAUGGCACAGAGUCCAAGUGCUACAGAAGCUCAAAGCAGCCAGGAGCUUCCCAGGGGAAGUGCCGAUGAAACUUGCCAUAGCUUGCUAUUAGGGCCUUGUUGUUAAUCAUGAUGUGGGAUUAGGGCAGGAGACUAGGGGUCCUGCUUGGCAUAUAACUGCAGGAUUUAGGUAUUUCUGAGAAUUCGGACUCUGUUUGCUUUUUGCUCACCAGGCAGGCUGGUCUGUUUCUUACCCUUGCAUCCCUGCUCCCAAUGCUGCUCCUGCCUGGAAUGUGGCCAGUUUAUGAGCUUAGAGGAUCCAUCACAACCAUUUUUCAAGACUAAGCUCCUAUGUCCUUCUUUGACUUUUUCUGACCGGCUUGCCUCCCUCCAGAUAGAAGAGGCCUUUUCUCUUUUGUGCUUCUACUGUUCUUAGGAUGUGUUUGCGGUCCACGCGGCUCUCUAGAACACUCCUCAGUUGGUCUGUCUAUGUCUCCCAGCCUGAGUCUCUCCUUCAUGCUUUGCGUCUUUGUGUCUCCAGUGUCUCGCCAUAGUGGGGGCUCAAUAAUGGUCAAAAUAAUCAAAUUAACUGAGACCUCCCCAAAUGGUGUCUCUUCCUCCCCUUCCCACUUUUUUUUCUUACCCCUUUCCAUUUUUGCUCCUAGGCUCACAAAAGGCUUUCUCAAGUCAGUGAAAACAUUUCAUGGACUUUUCGAUCUCAAGUAACAGGAAUCCACUGUUGAGGGAAACUAUUUUCUUUUCUGCCCUGAGAGCAUCAGUGAAGGUGGAGGGAGCCAGGGACCAGCAUGGCAGGAAUAGCAACAGGAUCUGCCACACCGGUGACUUACAUUCUUGAUCAACGACUCCGUGACUCACCCACUUAGAAAUAUGCAAACUACUCCUUAAGGUUAUGUUAGGGGAGGCACCAUAAUGACCACAGCUGAUUGCAAAAACCAACUAAAAUUAUGUUAACCGUCGAUGCUUAGCAGCUUGUUACAUCAAAGCAGAGUAUUUACAUAAGCAGCUAUUUGCUAAAAGCCAACAGACCUAUCCGCAGUAUUAUUAUAAUAAUAAUUAGUAAUGGCCGGCAUUCCUGUACACAUGCUUCAUCUAGGCGUCGGUACAAAUGCCACCAACUCUGCGUGGACAGGCAUCAUCUCACCCAUCUAUGGAAGGAGGCAGCACUGGGGAGCAGAAGGCACCUCCUACUUGAGCCCCCGACUCCAGUUACAAAGCCAAAUACCUCCUCCCCUUUGCCAUGGUGACUGCAGUCUGAGGGCCAGCCAGCCAUCGAUCUGCUGCAGAAAGCGGAGGGAUUUCUGGCUGGAACAAGUUUCUCCCGGCUACAGUUAACACGUAAGCGCGAAAGCUGUGCCCCGUCUGCUGCCUUCAGCGGUUUAAACAUUGGUUCGCCCUUGAGAGAGCAGCCUCCUCACCUCACAGGCGAGCCGGCAGCUGGUGCAAGAGUUUUCAACACCAGAUUAUUUUAAGGCAUCUGUAAAGUGGGUGAAAACGAAUUCUAGCAAAAAAAAUUCUUAAAACAACAAAAACAAGAAAACUUUGACAAAACGAAGCAGAAUGACAUCCCAGCCCCGCAGAACAGCUGGCUCUUCAAACACCGAGAGUUUCACUUGGUGUCCCGAGGUGUUUUCAAGACGCGCUCCCGAAAACCACAUCGCGGGCUGUGCUUGGCGGAGAAUAAUACGGAUCUCCCGUGUUCAGACGCUGUUGAGCAGUGACAUCGGACCAGGAGCAGAACAGCAAGAAGACUGCUGUCAUUACAGCCUCUGGUUUCAGCGAUUUCACUAAGCAGUCUCUAUUCCUACCCAUAAGGGAGCAGCACAUUUCUCUGUCUCAUAAUCCCAUAGACGGGCAUUGCCUGAUACGGUUGAGCCGAUGUUAAGUGGAGAAGCUUACGUCGCUUACUACUCUAUCUGCCCAGGCUCCCAGUGCGCUCAGGAGGAGGGGAGUGCUAUUACCCUCCGUUUACAGAUGAAGAAAUGAAGGUCCAGAGAAGAUGCAUGGCAGUCAGUCCUAAGUGUGGAUCUCUCACCGUCCUAAAUGUAGCCCAUUGAGUCAUGACAUCGCUCCUGGUUGGGAUUAUGGUUUUAAAAAAUAAUUGCUCAUGUAGCGAUUCAUUAUUGUAAAUAAUCUAAUAACUCAUGAUGUAGGAACUAGAAAACCAGGGCUAGCAACAAGUGUGUGACAGCUUGAGUUUUCACCAGCUGCAUUCAUUGGCCCCAGGCCAGGAUACCAUCUGACCUUCAAGCUGGCCAAGCACAAGCUACAUGAACAGCCAAAGCACAAUUAAAAGUGAGUAUGGGAUCAUAGCAAAGAGAAUUCAAGAAUGUUCUUAAUGGCUCCUGUCGCCAAGCUACAAUAGUCUGAUGCAUCCAUUUCCUCUGGAGAGAUACCCCUGCCAAAGAUGCUAGAACAGUGAGUCCAAGACCUCUUCUGUGGACAGCUUUUGAUGUUCGUACUCUCUGCCUGCAGACACAGGGAAGGCUGAAUUCCUUCUGCUAUCAAUCUUGCCAAAUAAAGUGUUACAAGUCUGUUACAAGUCUUGGUCCAGCGGACUUCUGCUAUUUCAGCCACCUGAAGGGCUUAUGCAAAUGACCUCAAGGGACAGCAGUUGUGACCUCACCAAGCCCUUUCCUUGAGGCAGGUGGUGGUGGUAAAAUGCAUUCAAUUUUACCAAGGCUUCAAGGGCAAUUUUUAGACUCUAGGUUUCUUGAGUUUCAUUUCUGAAUCUCUGAAUAUUUUCUGUCAUUGAGCAACUUUUUUGAAUGCAUAGUCUUGCCGCUGUGCAGAAAUCACCUAGGGGAUUUUUGAAAAAGUCAGGAUCUCUGACCACAAUUUCUUUGAUGAUAGUUGCAUGAUAAAAAAUGUAUUAAAGUCUGUGAGGUGUGUUGGCUCAUACCUUCACGUACCCUUACACUGGUUCUGCUUCUCUCUCAACUUGUUUCCUCUGGGCUCUGAGGUUUCCUGUGUGUAAGUCCUUCAUACUGGCUUUUCACCUUGGUGAGUUCCAUGUGGACAGAUUUAGGGCCAAAGUGCUCUUCUAAAAAAUGCCACCUGAAGUUACACUCUUGUGAAAUCUUUUAGGGGUUUAGUUUCCUGGUGAACCUUCCAAGCAAGUAUGCUAUUGUUGGCCCCAGAGUUUGUAAGUCCUUUUGCAUGGCCAUCUCCUGAGACGGUGAAAAACUAAAUGGUUAUUGGAGCCAGCCCCAAUGAGCUAA